AUUGAACGCUGGCGGCAGGCCUAACACAUGCAAGUCGAGCGGAUGAAGGGAGCUUGCUCCUGGAUUCAGCGGCGGACGGGUGAGUAAUGCCUAGGAAUCUGCCUGGUAGUGGGGGAUAACGUCCGGAAACGGGCGCUAAUACCGCAUACGUCCAGAGGGAGAAGGUGGGGGAUCUUCGGACCUCACGCUAUCAGAUGAGCCUAGGUCGGAUUAGCUAGUUGGUGGGGUAAAGGCCUACCAAGGCGACGAUCCGUAACUGGUCUGAGAGGAUGAUCAGUCACACUGGAACUGAGACACGGUCCAGACUCCUACGGGAGGCAGCAGUGGGGAAUAUUGGACAAUGGGCGAAAGCCUGAUCCAGCCAUGCCGCGUGUGUGAAGAAGGUCUUCGGAUUGUAAAGCACUUUAAGUUGGGAGGAAGGGCAGUAAGUUAAUACCUUGCUGUUUUGACGUUACCAACAGAAUAAGCACCGGCUAACUUCGUG
rnacentral:rRNA from 1 species